GUGGCUGAGCAGACUAUGGCAGCAUCCCCAUCCCUCUGCCUCUCAGAUAUAACAGAGGUGUAAACCAGGCCUCCAGGGGUUGUUUUUGUGGGUUGCCUUUUGAAAUCUCUGAGGUUUCAUGUUCUUUCUUAGGGUCUGGCCUCAGUGCAGUUAUUUUGCAGAAACUCCUUUCAACUCUGAAGUUCUGCUGCCUUCCCUGGGAACUGAACCUUUGGUACCUUUUACCUUUAUGAAACCUCUGUCCUUCAGACUUCUGGGAGAGAAAUUUGAGGACUGGGGAAGGACUUGAAAAAUCAACCCUUUCUCAGGCUCAUCAAGUUCCUGCCUUAUGACCUUCUCUUUGUGUGAUGCCCAUGUGUUAUUUAUGAGCACUUGGCUGCUCGUUUCCACAAAAAAAAAAAAAAAAAAAAA